UAGUGGAUCUAGUAAUGGCGAGAUAAGUCAGAGCAGUCGGAUACCUCGAUCAAUCCAGCCACUGCUCGAUUUUGAGAUGAAAAGUCCACCUCGAGCAGCAGCUGAGAUCAGUACCUCCAGUUGAGAUGAACUUGAGUCUCCUAUAAGGAGACUUAUGGAUUACCUCAGACCGACUACCGAGCAAUCCAUUCUGACCGACCUCGAACUUCAGAAACUUUAGGAGAAAUACUCGAUUCCUGAAGAAUUUCAAUUGAUAGAA
rnacentral:lncRNA from 1 species